rnacentral:misc_RNA from 1 species
AGAGCUCGGAACUCGCUGAU